CAGUCGCCACGGUAAUACAGAGGGUGCAAGCGUUAAUCGGAAUUACUGGGCGUAAAGCGUGCGCAGGCGGUUAUAUAAGACAGAUGUGAAAUCCCCGGGCUCAACCUGGGAACUGCAUUUGUGACUGUAUAGCUAGAGUACGGCAGAGGGGGAUGGAAUUCCGCGUGUAGCAGUGAAAUGCGUAGAUAUGCGGAGGAACACCGAUGGCGAAGGCAAUCCCCUGGGCCUGUACUGACGCUCAUGCACGAAAGCGUGGGGAGCAAACAGGAUUAGAUACCCCUGUAGUCCCUGUCUCUUAUAC
rnacentral:rRNA from 1 species